ACGAAGUGUUGCUGCAGUGGUUGCAAAGCCAACUCCAGUGUCCCUGAAAUUGGAUGCAGUGCUCAUGCUGUGGAUGAAGUGUCCCACAAUGUGCAUGCAGUAUGUUGUGAUGGAGGAUGCAGUGCCCAUGAAGGUGGAUGCAGUGAUCCUGCAGUGGUUGCAGUGCCCCCUGCUGUUUACCUGAUUGUGGAUGCAGUGCUCAUGCAGUGGAUGCAGUGUCCCCCAAGGUGGAUGCCUUAUGAUAUGAUGGAGGAUUCAGUGAUCAUGAAGGUGGAUGCAGUGAUCCUGCAGUCAUUGCAGUGCACCUGCAUCUCCUCAUCAGCUGGAAGCAGUGUUGCUGCAGUGGUUACAGUGCCGCCUUCUGUGUCCAUGAAUGUGAAUGCAGUGCCCAAGCAGUGGAACAGUGUACCUAAAAGUUUAUGCAAUAUGUUGUGACGGAGGAUGCAGUGUGCAUGAAGGCAGAUGCAGUGUCCCUGCAGUGGUUGCAGUGCCCACUGCAUUGUCCAAGAACGUGGAUGCAGUGCCAAGAUGUUGGAUGCAGUGUCCAACAAGGUGCAUGAAGUAUGCUGUGACGGAGGAUGCAUUGCCCAUGAAGGUGGAUGCAGUGAUCCGGCAGUGCACCCUGAUCUGUUCCUCAAUGUGCAUGCUCUGAACAUGCAGUGGAUGCAGUGAUCCUGCACUGACUGCAAUGUGCCUGCAGGGCAACUUCUGCUGGAUGCAGUGUAGCUGCAGUGGUUGCAGAGCCCCCUGCCGUUUACC
rnacentral:lncRNA from 1 species